rnacentral:rRNA from 1 species
CAGCCGCCACGGUAAUACAGAGGGUGCGAGCGUUAAUCGGAUUUACUGGGCGUAAAGCGUGCGUAGGCGGCUUCUUAAGUCGGAUGUGAAAUCCCUGAGCUUAACUUAGGAAUUGCAUUCGAUACUGGGAAGCUAGAGUAUGGGAGAGGAUGGUAGAAUUCCAGGUGUAGCGGUGAAAUGCGUAGAGAUCUGGAGGAAUACCGAUGGCGAAGGCAGCCAUCUGGCCUAAUACUGACGCUGAGGUACGAAAGCAUGGGGAGCAAACAGGAUUAGAUACCCGCGUAGUCCCUGCCUCUUAUAC